ensembl:snoRNA
AGCCUCCUUGUGCAUACCAUAGGCUCUGUUCUCUGUACCAACUAUAUAGACAGAGAAGUUACAGUAUAUCCGGCCCAUAUACAUCUCAGCCAGAUCCUUUGCCUAGUUUGUAUUGGGAAUGGGGGAAACACAC